rnacentral:lncRNA from 1 species
AGAGGAAAGGACAAGACCAGUGCGCUGCAGCUCUUAUUUUUCACAUGUAUACCACCACUCGUAAUAACCAAAUUCACUCAGUUGGGAUAGGUGGGAGAUGGUGGUUUGUGGGGUGGCUUGUGGGGAGGAGUUGGAGGAGGCUUUAUUUUCUGAGGCGGCUUGUAUGAGUGUGCAGGAGGAUGCCCGGGAGUGUGACCAUAAUGUGGUGGCUUCUCUCCCGUAGGUGGUUUGCCAAAUGGGCUUGGUGGCUUCUCUCCCUUAGGAGGUUUACCAAUUGGGGUUGGUGGCUUGUGUUCUGGGAGUGGUUUCUCUCCCUUGGUAGGUUUGCCAAUUGGGGUUGGCGGCUUAUGUUCUGGGAGUGGCUUCUCUCCCUUGGGAGGUUUGCUAAUUGGGGUUGGCGGCUUAUGUUCUGGGGGCGGCUUCUCUCCCUUGGGAGGUUUGCCAAUUGGAGUUGGCGGCUUAUGUUCUGGGAGUGGCUUUUCUCCCUUGGGAGGCUUGCCAAUUGGGGUUGGCGGCUUAUGUUCUGGGGGUGGCUUCUCUCCUUUAGGAGGUUUGCCAAUUGGAGUCGGCGGCUUAUGUUCUGGAAGUGGCUUUUUUCCCUUGGGAGGUUUGCCAAUUGGGGUUGGCGGCUUAUGUUCUGGGGGUGGCUUCUCUCCCUUGGGAGGUUUGCCAAUUGGAGUCGGCGGCUUAUGUUCUGGGAGUGGCUUCUCUCCCUUGGGAGGUUUUGUUGGUGGCUUGUGUUCUGGAGAUGGCUUCUCCCCUGGAGGCUUGUGCUCCGGAGGUGGCUUCUGAAAUGGCGGGGGCUUGGGGUAAUGAGCAAGAGAUGGAGUACUGGUGAGAACCACCAUUCCAAGCAACAAUACUAGCAAGCAUGUGGGAGAC